AGCUUGAAUCAAAUAUGUGGGUCCAAUGAUAAACAAACCAAGCUGGAUCUCAAACUCAAAAUUAGUUUCAAAUGAAGCUCGGUGAAGCUCAAGCCAACCAAAUUCAACUUGUAUGCACUCCUAAUCUCAUCCGUAAUUACUACAGUCAAAUGGUUGAACGAUGGCCAAGUGGAUCAUUUGUGAACAACAAUCAAUCUCUCUCCCACACAUAGAAAUGAUGAUAGCAAUAACCGGCCGAUCGAAUGACCAUAUUACUAUUGGCC
rnacentral:lncRNA from 1 species